GACCGGUCCACAGUCUGUGCUUCUUUUCCUAGAACUUGUAUUUCUUUCAGAGGACUUUGCAAUAAAUCCAUAUUCUUAGAUCUAAUAUUGAUAGUCUUUUGUCCAUAUCUUAUUCAUUUUAGGUCCUUUUAUUGUCAUUAGCUGUGAUGCUAAAGCAGUUUUAGCUUUCCCAUGAUGCUUUUGAAAGUUUUUGAACAAUCGGAGGAGUUGCUUUCAGGGCCCGUGAAAUAAAGUCAGAAAAAUACACAUUUGACCGACCCACAAUGCUGCAAUUGUUAUGGGCUGGCUCUGUCUUUCCCUGUCCCUACCUGUUUUCCUCUUCCCUUUUUCCCUGUGUUUGUUGUCUGUGUCUGUCUCCACCUGCUGUGGCAGUUCAUGCAGAGGAUCUAGGUCAAGGGGCGUGGCCAUUCUCUCCAGCUCUGUUCCCACCAGCUGCAGCUCAUUCCAUCAAUCAACCAGCAGUUAUCUACCCGGGCUGUUCACCUCUCCAUCGCCAGUUCGUUUCUACACAACCAGUGAUUCCGUUCUGUACCUCCUGCCUGCUGCUCCCACGCUGUGACCUGCUCAUCUGCUCCCUGCUCUCCUCGUCAUCCAGCUCUCAGUGCUGCCGGUUCUCCACACCACUCAGAUCCCAUCCCGGUCUGAAGCCGCUCCACCCCGAACUGUUACUCUCUGCCUAACACGCUGUGUAAAUAAACACCUUAACUGAC